GCGGAAAUAGCUCAAUUGGUAGAGUGUCAGCCUUCCAAGCUGAAUGUUGCGGGUUCGAGUCCCGUUUUCCGCU
rnacentral:tRNA from 1 species